rnacentral:rRNA from 1 species
GAUGAACGCUAGCGGCAGGCUUAAUACAUGCAAGUCGAGGGGUAACAGGUCUGUAGCAAUACAGAUGCUGACGACCGGCAAACGGGUGCGGAACACGUACAGAACCUUCCUUCGAGUGGGAGAUAGCCCAGGGAAACUUGGAGUAAUAUCCCAUAGGAUCAUAGAGUGGCAUCACUUAGUGAUUAAAGAUUUAUCGCUUGAAGAUGGAUGUGCGGCUGAUUAGGUAGUUGGUGUAGGUAACGGCUCACCAAGCCUUCGAUCAGUAACUGGUGUGAGAGCACGACCAGUCACACGGGCACUGAGACACGGGCCCGACUCCUACGGGAGGCAGCAGUAAGGAAUAUUGGGCAAUGGAGGCAACUCUAACCCAGCCAUGCCGCGUGGAGGAUGAAGGUCCUCUGGAUUGUAAACUUCUUUUAUUUGGGAAGAAAUGCCGAUUUUCUAAUUGGUUUGACGGUACCAGAUGAAUAAGCACCGGCUAACUCCGUGCCAGCCGCCGCAGUAAUAC